rnacentral:misc_RNA from 1 species
UUAUUUUACUUGAAAUAAUUUUAUCGAAGUUAGGUCUCGCUCGACGACUUUACCUCGAUCGAUCAGAAAGAUCAUAUACUUUCGAAAGUUUUUACAUUUAAAUUGAAGAUCCGACAGUUUCAAGUUGAAAAGUGGUCGCGACGCGAUAUUUUGUAUAAUAUGGAAUUGAUAAGAUAUUCUCAGCUCGAUAUGUAUAUAUUCAAGUAGAACGUUCCAAGGGAAAAUAUGUAAGUGGGGGCGCGAAAGGAUCGAGAGCACUCGUGUUUGAUAUAAUAGACUAACUAAACUGCGUGAAAAGGAUGGAUAAAAAAGCACGAUAUUUCAGCCGAAAUGUCGGUUUGCCAGAGAGUCUGCGAGCGCGUCAUACUGCUUACGGAGACGCACCAAACAACGUGCAACAAAUAAGUAAAUAUAAAAUCAUGAAGAGGUUCGAGGAAUUCCAAGGCUCGGUUAUUUUCAAUUGGUUAGCGGAGAUGGCUUUCUGAAAUGGAAGUCUCCUUCUUACACGUUGACUGUCAUGACGUUACUAAGUAAAAUAAAUAGAAAAGAAGUAACGACACAAUUAAUUAGAUAAUACCAUCGAAUAAAAACUGUGUUAUUUAAUAAUUGAUAGUUUUCAUUAUAUACACGUAAUACGUUAUGAAGAGUAAAUGUCACGGUUUUCCGCAUUGAGAAACUUCGAUUUAUGAUUUUCAAUGCAACCGCUAAUCUUUAC